UAGUAAAAAGUUUAUUAAAGUAUAAAACAUCUAUCUGAGGAAAUAUAUACCGAUGAUCUACCGUUCAUUGUGUAAAUUGGUAUUACUAUACAAAUGUUCCGUCCCAGCCAUUUGUUCAUAGUUGUGUACAUCUAAAUUCUGACCGACUCCUUCAUAGAACGACAGUUGCUGUUGCUGUGUUGUGUUGACAUAAUCUGAUAACCUGUCAUCGUUCUUUCUAAUUAAAC
rnacentral:lncRNA from 1 species